rnacentral:tRNA from 1 species
GGAGACGUGGCAGAGCGGCCGAAUGCACCGGUCUUGAAAACCGGCGAGGGUUAAACCUCCGCGGGUUCAAAUCCCGCCGUCUCCGCCC